AUGUAAUAUUACAGGAUAGUGGAUCUUAUAGCAUAGUAGUGGUUGCUAUAAGAUCCACUAUCCUGUAAUAUUACAUAU
rnacentral:miRNA from 1 species